rnacentral:lncRNA from 1 species
ACAAUGGGAACCAAGAUGCUCAUGAUCCUUGAGGCUAUGCAAAUGGAAUGUUAUGAUGCCAUGAGGGAUCUUAGGGUCAAAAUUGGGGUCUUACAGAUGCCCCUAUUUAAGGUCAUUCUAGCUGGAGAAGUGAAGGUUAAAAUCUUUGUCUCGACGAGGUAGAAUGGGCUUAAAUAAUAACAAAGAGACAAAUUUUGGUCCCUAACAGACCUCAUGAUGCAGAUGUAUUUAUGCAAAUAGUACGAACUCUAUGGGGAUAUGUGUCCACAAAGAAGAAAAGACAUCCGGAGAAACUGACAAUCCAUAUGAGAAAUACACUCAAUGGGACAGAGACUCUGGGGACUCUUAUGGGGAUAGGAGAGGGAAUAAAAUUCGUGAGCAGGUCACAACUCAACGCUUGGGGAACAGAAUUCCAAAGGGAAAGUAUCCAAUGGAAAGACCCGAG